UUGCGGUUAAAAAGCUCGUAGUUGGAUCUCGGCAAGUAGAGGGCGGUAUGCUUCGUAGCAUUACUGCCCUAUUACUUGUAGUUUUGCCAGAGGUUCCUGGGUGCUCUUAAUCGAGUGUCUAGGGAUGCUGGCAGGUUUACUUUGAAAAAAUUAGAGUGCUCAAAGCAGGCUAUUACGCUUGAAUAUUCGUGCAUGGAAUAAUAGAAUAGGAAGUUGUUUCUAUUUUGUUGGUUUUCGGAAAUCGACUUAAUGAUUAAUAGGGACAGUCGGGGGCAUUUGUAUUCAAACGACAGAGGUGAAAUUCUUGGACCGUUUGAAGACAAACUACUGCGAAAGCAUUUGCCAAGAAUGUUUUCAUUAAUCAAGAACGAAAGUUAGAGGUUCGAAGGCGAUUAGAUACCGCCCUAGUCCUAACCAUAAACGAUGCCAGCUAGCGAUCUGAGGACGUUUUUUUUGUAGACUCCUCAGGAAGCUUCCGGGAAACCAAAGCGUGUGGGUUCCGGGGGAAGUAUGGUUGCAAAGCUGAAACUUAAAGGAAUUGACGGAAGGGCACCACCAGGAGUGGAGCCUGCGGCUUAAUUUGACUCAACACGGGAAAUCUCACCAGGCCCGGGACACUGGAAGGAUUGACAGAUUGAGAGCUCUUUCUCGAUUCGGUGGGUGGUGGUGCAUGGCC
rnacentral:rRNA from 1 species